GACGAACGCUGGCGGCGUGCUUAACACAUGCAAGUCGAACGAAGUGGCGAAAGGGUGAGUAACGCGUAAUCAACCUGCCCUUCAGAGGGGGACAACAGUUGGAAACGACUGCUAAUACCGCAUACUGAAGGAGGGGAUUGCGACUGAUUAGCUAGUAGGGGGGGUACCGGCCCACCAAGGCGAUGAUCAGUAGCCGGUCUGAUGGAAUGAACGGCCACAUUGGGACUGGGACAAGGCCCAGACUCCUACGGGAGGCAGCAGGGGUGAAUCUGCCGCAAUGGACGAAAGUCUGACGGAGCAACGCCGCGUGAGUGAUGACGGCCUUCGGGUUGUAAAGCUCUGUUAAUCGGGACGCGGUACCGGAAUAGAAAGCCACGGCUAACUCCGUGCCAGCAGCCGCGGUAAUUC
rnacentral:rRNA from 1 species